AACAGGGAGAACAAACAACUGAUCGUGAUGUCUGAGUUUUUUUAUUUCUUUAGGCCAUGAUCCUGUCAUCCUCGAAGGUCGAAUCGGUACCUUCAACUUGAGGGUUGAGAAGAAAGGACUUGAGUUAAUCAGUCUGGAAGGACUUAACCAAUCAAUUUUCAGUUCCUAAAACUUUUGUUCUUAGGGUCACCCCCACAGAGGGUAAAGCCGAGAAUGUGUGCAGCAAUGUACAUGUUGAAUCUGGCCAGCCCGAAGGCGAGCUGGAAGCGGCAACAACUCCUGGGCCAUUAGCUCAGUGGUUAGAGCGCACCCCUGGAUAAGGGUGGAGGUCCCUGGGUUCAAGUCCAGGAUGGGGCCAUUCGUGUUUUGGGGGGUUUAGCUCAAUUGGGUAGAGACGACUGCUUGUCAAGCAGAAGUGCAGCGCUUCGAGUCGCUAACUCCAUUCAAUGAUAGGUUGUCCCCAGCACGACUAUAUAUAGAAGAUG
rnacentral:misc_RNA from 1 species